GGGCCCUUAGUUUAGUGGUAAAAUACAAGACUUCGAAUCUUGUGCCCCGAGUUCGAUCCUCGGAGGGCUCG